rnacentral:rRNA from 1 species
UUUAAAUAGCUGCAGUAAUUUAACUGUACAAAGGUAGCAUAAUAAUUAGUCUUUUAAUUGAGGUCUAGAAUGAAUGGUUUAACAAAAUAUUAACUUUAUUACUUUAAUUCAAUUUAAUUUAAUUUUUUAGUUAAAAAGCUAAAAUAAUUAAAUGGGACGAUAAGACCCUAUAGAUCUUUAAUUUUUUUUUUAAUAAAAAUUUUUUUUUGGUAUUAUCAAUGUUUAAUUUAAUUAAAAUUUUAAUUGGGGUGAUUUAAAAAAUUUAAAACUUUUUAAUGUUUUUUCAUAUAUUAAUGUUUAUUUGAUCUUAAAUUUUAGAUUAUUAGAUUAAGAUACCUUAGGGAUAACAGCGUAAUAAAUUUGAAUAGUUCAUAUUGUUAAAUUUGUUUACGACCUCGAUGUUGAAUUAAUUUUAAAAUUUGAAGUAGAAAUUGAAGUUUUUAGGUCUGUUCGACCUUUAAUUAAUUACA